GAGUUUGAUCCUGGCUCAGGACGAACGCUGGCGGCGUGCCUAUGCAUGCAAGUCGAACGGGGGGGACUACGGUUCCCUCAGUGGCGCACGGCUGAGGAACCGUGGGUCAUCUGCCCUGGUGUGGGGGAUAACACUCCGAAAGGUGUGCUAAUCCCGCAUCGAUCCCAAUAGGGAUGAAAGCCUUCGGGCGCACCAGGAGGAGCCUGCGACCCAUCAGGAGCUGGUAGGGUAAUGGCCUACCAGGCCAAUGACGGGUACCUGGUCUGAGAGGAUGAUCGGCAGAUUGGGACUGAGACACGGCCCAGACUCCUACGGGAGGCAGCAGCAAGGAAUUUUCGCAAUGGGCGCAAGCCUGACGGAGCAACGCCGCGUGCAGGACGAAGGCUUUCGGGUUGAAACUGCUUUUGUUGGGGACGAAACGGACGGUACCCAACGAAUAAGCCCCGGCUAACUCGUGCCAGCAGCCGCGGUAAUACGGAGGGGGCAAGCGUUGUCCGGACUUACUGGGCGUAAGCGCACGUAGGCGGCUUGGAGCGUCGGUACUGAAAGUGCCCGGCUUAACCGGGUAAGGUUGCCGAUACGUCCAGGCUCGAGGCAGUCAGAGGUUGGCAGAAUUCCGGGUGUAGUAGUGUAUGCGUAGAGAUCCGGAGGAAUGCCUGUGGCGAAAGCGGCCAACUGGGACUGACCUGAGCUGAGGUGCGAAAGCGUGGGGAGCGAACCGGAUUAGAUACCCGGGUAGUCCACGCGGUAACGAUGUCGGCUCGGUGUUCGGGAAUGUGCAACCAUUCCUGGGUGCCUCAGUAUACACGUAAGCCGACCGCCUGGGGACUACGAGCGCAAGCUUAAAACUCAAAUGAAUUGACGGGG
rnacentral:rRNA from 1 species